CCUUCAGCCAGAUUUGAAUAUAGAUUUAGGUUUUAAAACCCAGAAGCUGGGAACACCGCUUUAUCAAAGAGAAUUUCCCUUUAGCUUAGCGAUGUGUCGGAAUGGCUCUCGCAAAGAUCGGAUCGGAGAGGGGGAAAAAUAGGGGGAAGCCUUCAUCCCGGAGCGAUCCUACACGCACUUUGCAGCCGCAUUCCGCCUUCAGCCUCAGGAAAAGUUGCCCCCAAACAAGCAAAAAAAAAAAAAGAAAAAAAAAAAAGUGGCAGCCGUAGGAACUGUUUUUUUUUUUUUAAUUACUAUUUUAUUUUUAAUUAUUUUUUAAGGAAGGGAAAAAGAAAAAAAAACCAACAAAAACAACCAAACAAAACAGCCAAUGCGACCAAACCCCUUUCCGACCUCCUGCGCUCCGUUCGGAUAGCAGCUCCGGGCAGGUAUACAGAGCCGCACUAACUCGGGCUCAACGGGGAGCGACUUUUGUGCUCAGAGAACCCCCAGAUCAGCUCCCGGGAUGGAAAGGAACUGUAACUUCUGCUGCUCAGGUCUGUGGGAGGCUGGUCCCUCUUUGAACAUCUGGAGUGGUGUGUGGCUGCAUUCAUUGGAAGAGGAACCCCACGUGGAAAACCAGGGCCAGAGCUAAAGGCAGGAUUCAACUCCUCUUCACCCUUGAUGUGCUGGCCCAGCUCCAAGGAGAUGCUAAGGUAGCAGCUCAUACAACUCUGCUGGCUUUGGAAGGGAGCUUGGGAGUCCCCAGAUCCUUCUUGUUCGUGUAUUGGCUCCAGUCUCAUCACUUACAUGGAGAUUUGCUUGCAGGUAAAAAUACCGAAUUUCUGGUGCUACCCAGGAAGAGACAGCUCAUCACUCAAGAUAUCACAUAUCAAAGUGCAGGCAAACAUGCAAAUGGAAGAAAAGCGAACUCUUACACUUUUGCACUGCAGUUGCUUUUAAAAGAG
rnacentral:lncRNA from 1 species